AUUCGUCUUUCCUCUCUCUCUCUCUCGAUGGCGAUUUUCUUCUUCGCUAUCUUUUCCAGUUCUUGGAGUUUCUUGCGAAUCUGUUCCUCAUUUCUUAGUUUCUGUUUCUCCCUUCUGAUUUCUACGUUUACCCACCCAGUGAACCCAAUGCCAGAAACCCUAGUUUUUCUACAUUUGCAUGCUUCUUGUUGAUUCCACGCGUGGAACGUUCGAUUUUGUAGAAAAGGCUGCAUCUUUCCUGUUUUUCUUUGAAAGCUCUGUAACGUUUUCCGGUUUAUGUUUUUUCUUUGAUUGCUAGUCACGGUUUAGUGUAGCCUCUGAAUUUUCUUUUCUUGGUUUUUUGGAUUUUUUCUAUUGGCUUCAGGUGGGUUCGGUGUCUCAAUCGGCGUUGAUUCGAUUGACAUCACACAGAUCUUAACUGUUCACUUCAGGGACAUCGAGGAAUCCGCCAUCAAUGAGGAGAAGUUGCUGAUCACGGCGGAGCUCCUCCGUCUCUUCUCGUCUCUGCCUUGUCACAAUGAGAAAUCUGCCUGGUUUCUCAGGUAACCUCGCUCUAUCACACAUCAAAUUCUGCAAAGCUUGAAUAUCUUGUAAGUUUCGCGAAUAUAGACAUUGUACGGUAUAUUUUGACUAACUGCGUGAAGAAUUGGAGUGUUCGUCACAUCUCUGUGUCAAUCGUUGAUUAAUUAUUUCUCUUUUGCAAUUUGAGUUUCUGAUAAUAUUCAGCAGUAAUGGGGGGUCUAGGCUUUCCUUAGAGACAUACAUCGGUUCAUGAGUUCCUCUCGUACAUUGAGAAAGUAGACAUUUGACUGGAACGAAACAGGCAAAGGAAGAAGGUAAGGGGUGCUUCUCUUUGUUUCUUGAUCUCCUACAAUUCAAGAAACUCUACCAUAUUGAUAACUAUUUUGUGAAUCUGGAGCACAAUCCGAGAGUGGUUAUCCCAUGCAUGAGUGCUGCAGUCCACAAGGUGACCCGGGACCUGAGAGCAGUUGCAAGUAGCGGCGUCCAUUUCUCCUCGACGGAAGGGCCCAAGGGAACUGAGUUGCAAUUACCUGCUGUCUUGGAUGAAUUAAUCCCCUAUGAUGGUCCUCUAGGUGCACAUUAUACAGAAGAAGCUAUCUCUCUUCACCUUGGGGCCCCUACUGCUCAAGUACUAUAUUGUUGGUUAAAAUUGUUUGGUAUAUAUGAGCUUCUUGUGAGGGAUUUCAGGUGACCCUGAAAUGGGAAAAAGCAAGCUGUUACAAGCAGCGGCGUCCAUUUCCCCUCGAGGAAUUUAUGUUUAUGUCCACCAAGAAAUCAAGCAUAGAAUACAGAACAAGCUUGUUGGCUCUGAAGAUCCAAUUGCGACAGAAACGAUGCUAGAAAGAAUCACCAAGAACCAGGAGAAUAUAUAGUGGAGACUUUGCAGAGCAGUUCAAAAUGUUCCAUAAUCAGCUUAAGGAUUUCUUCAAUGCUGGAAGCUGAUGUUUUGGAGUUGAUCAAAACAAUGCAUUCCCUGAAUUAUCCGAGAGAAGAAAUUGUGAAGGGCCUUGGAAGUGGCUUGCGAAAUGGUGCUCCGGAUGCUGCCAUUGCAAUGCGACGGAAGUGGCACAUCUGUGAGAUUGGCCUGGAGGACUACAUUUGUGUUCGUUUGGGUUUGGAUGUUAGAGAUCUUGUCAAAAGCCAGUUAGCCAUUUCUUGCUUUGACACCGAAGGGCGGCUAAUUGAGGGAACCGGGUUGCAAUUACCUGGUGUCUUGGACGAAUUAAUCUCCUAUGACGGUCCUCUAGGUGCACAUUAUACAGAAGAAGCUAUCUCACUUCACCUUUGGGUCCCUACUGCUCAAGUUAUGUUCUUUGUUAAAAUUCUUUGGUAUAUAUGAGCUUCAUGGGAGGGAUUUCAGAUCCUGAAGUUCGCAGUGGACCAGUGGUUACCUGGCAUUUACUUCAGUGUGACCCUAGACUGGGAAAAAGCCAGCUGUUGCAAGCAGUGGCUGCGUCCAUUCCCCCUCGAGGAAUUUAUGUAUGUGGUAAUGCAGGGCUCACCGUUACUGUAGUGAAAGAUUCCAUGACAAGUGACUAUGCUUUUAGGCUGUGCCAAUGAUCAUUUCGUAGAUCCUGAAGUUCGCAGUGGUACACCUGGCAUUUACUUUGGAGGUGACCCUAGACUGGGAAAAAGCCAGCUGUUGCAAGCAGCGACGUCCAUUUCCCCUUGAGGAAUUUAUGUUUGUGGUAAUGAGGUGACCCUGGACAUGAUAGCUGUUGCAAGCAGCGGCGUCCAUUUCCCCUCGAGGAAUGUUAUUUCAGUUGACCUUGAAGUUGUAUCUGAUCCGCUUUCUACAUAUGUCAAUUGUGAAGUCUCUGCUUAAGGUUGGUGUUGUUCCGGUGGAUGAUUGUUGUUGAACUACUGAAUGGUAAAAUUGAAGUUCUUGAAACCAAGGAUGCCUCCGGGUGAAACCCUAUGGAAACCUGUAAGUUUUCAGCCUUGUAAAUGUUCUUCUCUGUUUGAAUUUCUGCUUGAAUAGGAACAUUAUCUGUAUAUAAUAAUUUGGGAAAGAUGGUUGAUAUAGGUUUGUUCUGGACUUUAUCGUGCAUCUGAUGCAAUUAGAAAACUCUGUUCUUAAGUCUUAAUAUAUUCCGAUUUGAAAUAAAAAAGUCGAUAAUCUCAAAUGAGAUAAAUCAAGAGGGUCUGUUCUGUUAUGGUCUGUUUUCUAUUGCGAAUCAUGGCUAAAUAGACCCUCGAAUUGGAACGCUAUCUGUGACAUGUCCCGAAACAUAAUGAAAAAUCUGUAUUAUAAAAUGAGUUGUAAGUACAGGGUCUAUUUCAUAGAAAUAAUGGCUAAAUAGACCCUGGAAUGGGAACGCUAUCUGUUACAUGUCCCGAAACAUAGAGUGAAACAUGUAAUCUCAAAUGAGAUCCAAAUACAGGGUCUGUUCUAUCGGGAAUGAUAUGUUGGCUGAACAGACCUUGGAAUGGGAACGCUAUCUGUUAAAUGUCCCGAAACAUAAUGCAAAAGUAUGCAUUCGCAAAUGAGAUGGUCUGUUUUCUAUUGGGAAUAACGGCUAAACAGACCAUCGAAUGGAACGCUAUCUGUGACUCUCCCGAAACACAAUGAAAAAUCAGUAUUAUCAAAUGAGUUGCAAGUACAGGGUCUAUUCUAUUGAAAUAAUGGCUAAGUAGACCCUGGAAUGGGAACGCUAUCUGUUACAUGUCCCGAAAUAUAAUGAAAAGCCUAUAAUCUCCUAUCAGAUGCAAAUACAUGGUCUGUUCUAACGGGAAUGAUAUGAUGUCUAAACAGGCCUUGCAAUGGGAACGCUAUCUGUUAAAUGUCCCGAAACAUAAUGCAAAAGUAUGCAUUCGCAAAUGAGAUG